CCAAAGCGAAAAACCAACUGAAAUACACCAAACCCAAAAUCUCAUAAUAUCUACAAAUAGGAACUCACUCAGUUAAUCUAAGAAGAGGAAAAUGGAUUUCAGGUUAAUGGGUAUCGACACACCAUUCUUUCACACUCUUCGACACACCAUUCUUUCACACUCUUCAGCACCUUAUGGACGCCGCCGGUGAAGAUUCCGACAAGUCCGUGAACGCCCCAUCGAGGAACUAUGUACGUGACGCUAAGGCAAUGGCUGCAACACCAGCCGACGUGAAGGAAUACCCAAAUUCCUACGUUUUCGUUGUGGACAUGCCAGGGUUGAAAUCUGGAGAUAUUGAGGUGCAAGUGGAAGACGACAAUGUGCUGCUGAUAAGUGGAGAAAGGAAGAGAGAAGAAGAGAAAGAAGGGGCUAAGUGUAUCAGAAUGGAGAGAAGGAUUGGAAAAUUCAUGAGGAAAUUUACUCUGCCGGAGAAUGCGAAUACCGAUGCGAUUUCUGCUGUUUGUCAAGAUGGAGUUUUGACUGUGACUGUCCAGAAGUUGCCUCCACCUGAGCCUAAGAAACUCAAAACUAUCGAGGUUAAAAUUGGAUAAGAUUUUGUUACUCUGUUUUGUGGUUACAAAAGUGCUCUGUUUUGAUGCUUGGUGGUAUGACGUAAUAAAGAUGGUAGAGAUCUAAGAGUGGUUUUUCUCUCUCUGUCUUCUUUAUAUUUUCUAUGUUUUAUGGAAUAUGAUGAAACUAAAUGUGUAGGUCUUCUAUCUCUUGUUUAAAAUGCAAGUGAAAUGCUACUAGUGUCCCGUUUUUUUUUUCUUCGAUGUAUUGCCUUCAAUAUAUAGAGUGCAAUUUCUUACAAAAUAAAGAAGUGCAAAACUUUUCA